rnacentral:sRNA from 1 species
AAGAAAGUGACUGCCGCCCCGCACAGGGGCGAAGCUAAUAGACCGAUAAGAAAACAAGUUUCAUAGGAGCGGAGGCGCAUCAAACGGUUCUACAGCCGCCG